GCGGGCGGCCCAGACAAAGGCGACGAAUCAGUAAGCUUGGGAAGCGCUGUACAGUGGCAGAAAGAAUAUGGACUUCGGAGUUAGACACACCUCAGUUUGAUCCCUAACUCUGGCACAUAUUUGCUGCGUGGCAAGUUCUUACCCUUGAUUUAAGAGAUGGUGCUGAUUCAGACAUGCGCACAGUGACACAGGUGCUAAAUGCAGUGCUGGAGGGAGUACAGAUCUGUGGAACCUGUUUCAGAAGCACUUUGGCAGUGUCACAGAGCAGAACUUAGUACUUCCGAGAAAAUGAAUGCUGAACCCUUACGAAGAGAUAAAGGUUAUUUGGUACAUAUUGGUGGUCUCUGCCCUUCAGUAUCUGAGGGUGAUUGAAGGUCUCAUUUCCAGAAAUACCAAGUUUCUGAAAUUUCAAUUUAUGAUUCUUCUAGUAAUUACAGGUUUUGCCGUGACAGUAGGUAAGAACAAGGCUUCCAGGCUCUCUUCAACACCUCCAAGCUCCCUUCUCCAAACCCAAAAGGAAGAAGAAAACUACAAAUCCCCAUCUGCCCGCCCUGCAGUUCUUGGGAAGAGACGGUCCUCAAAUUGUUCCUGCUUAGACCCCUGAAGCUUGGAGAAGGAGAUGGGGACAGGUGUGCCAGCGGGCGAGGAAGGACGUCCAAUAAGGGGGAGGAAAUUUGGCCGAGGGGACAGACGGGAGCGGAGAUAAACCGGUGAGGAGGGUGAGAAGGAAGAGCAAAAAAACAGGGAGAAAGGAGUGAGGAUCGCAGGAGAAAAAGAUAAAAUGGAAGAGAAAAAGAAGGAAGGGUCAGAGUUAAAGGAUGCGGAGACGAUGGCAAAGAGAACACGGAAAGGCUGUCACUGGGAAGAAGGGAGAUUAAGGGGGUGUCACCUACAGGGCUUUACCCCAGCGGGUGAAUGGGCUGCACGGGGAAGGGGGAACUGGAAACCGAGUAGGUGGUAACAAGGGGCUGUGGGCGAAGGCAGGAGCCUGAGGGGGAUGCCUGAGCCAGGGAGCGACAGGCCCACCGGGGACGUGGGGGCGGCAGCGGCUGGGGCGGGUCCUGCUCCCUCGCUGUGGCUGAGCCGGCCCAAUCCUGGGCACAGCCUCUGCCCCAGGUGCGGCGGUGGCCAGACCAGAGCGCACACCCAGGCUGAGCCUUGUCUGUAGGUUUCCUUCAUAGAACUGCAAAGAAAUGUCAAGCACAUGAACACAGCUAGACAACAAUCCAAGGCAAGAUGAAUGCCAGAAGAUUUUGGCAUCCUGGAAAAAACUCACCAUGGACUUUGGUUAUUCAGAAUUAGCUACUUCUUCUGUAAGGCUAUCAGAAAAAUCACAAGAUUGUUGUCAGCUGGGGAGAUGGUGAAGGUAACAGUUUUAAACUCGCCCCCGAACCUCCUAGACAGAGUUACUGGAAGAGAAGCAAACAAAACAAAGCAAAAGGCCCUGGGACAACAUAUACAGUACCAAAAAAAUUAAGCGAUAAGGAGUCCUGUGAAUCCCAAAAAUUGAGCAGUCAGGACAAAUCUGCAAGAGCUACAGUUGCAAUCGGUACUGACAGCUACAGAGGACAAGGAGGGACACGGUGGGGAAUCUAGGGGAGCUGAGCACAGGAGGACCAAUCUUGCAGCUGCAAUGGACAGGGUGAGACACCCUCACGUGAGACGAUUCACAGUAACGCACGGAUCCACGGUAAAGUCCUCAGGAGCUGGAGCACAACAGUCCUCUGAACACCCAAAAUUAGGCAAAGCUCCCUUCCAGGACAAAGCUCCACAUUAUAGAGAAGUGUGAGGAAUUAAAGUAUCAAAUACUACUGGAGUCAGUUAAAAAGACCUUUAGUAUAAGAAAGGGUGGUUCAAGGAAAAAUGGGGGAAAGAGAGAGAAAAACCUAGGAAAUCUCAAGAAAUAUGAGGCCAUAUUUUUAGCACUUCAUAAAACUGGCAUAAGAAGAGCAUUAGAGCCAUAAAUCUAGUAAAAGGAUUCAGACCCACUUCUCCCUGCUACGAGUUUGGGAAAACAGACUUUCACACCAGAAUGAUAGCAGGAAGGACUGCGGCUCACAGGACAGAGUGACACCCUUACGAUGAAGGCAUGUCAAAAAGAUACGCCUGCAAAACAGAGGAAAACCAGGAUCUAGUGUUUCAAGAAAUGAGAAAAGACAUUACGAAAAUGACAUAAUAGGAAUGCUGUAAAUCAGAGUUAGAAAAAACUCAGGAAGGAGUUAAACAUUUGGAGUAAAUGGAAAAGAAAUCACUUCAGAAGUGAAGUCUAAACUAGAAGCUACACAAGAGUGAUUAUACAGCAGAUAAUAUCACAUAAACAGAAGUUGCAAAGAAUGAAAAAAUUAAAAAUCAAAAAGAUGAAAAGAAUUCAAUUGAAAAUUACAAACACAGAAGACAGGAAAAGAAGACUGAACACACGAAGACAGGCCUCAAGUAAUAAAAACUAUAUAUAUAUAAUAGUAAUAUAAUCAUAACUAUAUAUAAUUUUAAGUUUCUUAUCCUCAGAUAGCUGUGUAUAUAAUGUUGCAUAAAAUAUUGACUAAUUAUAUGAUAUUCUAAAAUUUUAUUGUUCACGAUAUCCACAAUUCUCACCAUGUCAGAGAGGAGGUAAGAUUUUAGAUAGAAGAGAUACAUAAAACCCAGUAGCCAUAAAUUUCAAUGGAAAAUAUCAGUAUGAAUUAAUGAGGUGUCUUCAUCUUUUAAAAGUAUAUUGAUUUCCUAACUCUGUCCAUUCCAAGGCCUAGAGAGACAACACAGUAGCAACACGGAGUGGCCAGAAAGUAUUCCUGAAAUACAAUUUCAAACUAAAAGAAACCGGAGCCCCUGGAAGAAACCAGUGGUUUAGGAUGUGUACAAAAUGGGCCUUAAACCUUGUCACCCGAGAAAGCAGGAACGAACUUUGGGAUCCAACACAGAGGCUCCCGCUGGUCAAAGAUGGGAAAACCUCAGCAUCAGAAAGGGUUUUGUCAAAAACGGACUCAAGUAUCAAGUGUAUUUAAGUCCAUGGAUUGCAAAUGACAACUAAAAGAAAAAACCUAGCUGGUUACCACUGGAGGAUGCUAUUUUGAAAACUGGUAAAUACAUAAAGAGAAGGAAUUAAACACUUCUACUUUUCCCAUGUGAACCAUACCACAGCAUAACCAAAUAGCAGAUAAUGGGAAGCCUAUGUCCUUACAGAGGCAUAGUUAGCCAAGGAAAGUAAAUUAGAUUACCACCAUUUUGCAAUUCUUAAUGAAUUACUGGAUCUAGCAUCAAUAGCUACAUAUAUCACAAAACGAGACAAGUGACACAUGUGCCUCCUGAAAACACAACUUUCCACAGCCUGUGCAACAGCCUCGACCCACCCACAGCCUCUGGGCCAACCAUCAAUUUCCAGGAAAUACAGAGGACUGAGCAGCAGGUCAAACUGGACCACAGUGCUGCGAUCCUCGAAAGCCAGACUACGAGAAACCAAAUGACCCAGUUUCCCCAGUCAAUAAAUCCCAAAUGAAAGCCACAACAAAAAAGAUGGAUGAGAAAUCCACGGAUCAAAAGAACAGAAACAAGCAGAAUGAAGCCAUUAUACCAAAGUAAACAAUAAUGUGCAGGAUGCAGGAUGCAGGACUGCCUAAGAGGGAGUCACACCAAAUGCCAUAACUUUGAAUGCAUGACUCAAACUAUGUAGCUUUCAAUUUUUUUUUUAUAAGGGAGUCACCAGUCAAAAUAAAGAGUGAAACUUAAUGACUACA